rnacentral:tRNA from 1 species
GAAGUGUUUACUCAAUGGUAGAGUGCAUGCUUAGCAAGCAGGAAGCCUUAGGUUUAAUCCUAAGUACCUCA